UACGUAGGGGGCUAGCGUUGUCCGGAAUCAUUGGGCGUAAAGGGCGCGUAGGCGGCGCAACAAGUCACUUGUGAAAUCUCCGGGCUUAACCCGGAGCGGCCAAGUGAUACUGUCGUGCUAGAGUGCGGAAGGGGCUACUGGAAUUCUCGGUGUAGCGGUGAAAUGCGUAGAUAUCGAGAGGAACACCUGCGGCGAAGGCGGGUAGCUGGGCCGACACUGACGCUGAGGCGCGAAAGCCAGGGGAGCGAACGGG
rnacentral:rRNA from 1 species